GAUGAACGCUGGCGGCGUGCCUAAUACAUGCAAGUCGAGCGAACAGACGAGGAGCUUGCUCCUCUGACGUUAGCGGCGGACGGGUGAGUAACACGUGGAUACCCUACCUAUAAGACUGGGAUAACUUCGGGACACCGGAGCUAAUACCGGAUAAUAUAUUGAACCGCAUGGUUCAAUAGUGAAAGACGGUUUUGCUGUCACUUAUAGAUGGAUCCGCGCCGCAUUAGCUAGUUGGUAAGUUAACGGCUUACCAAGGCAAGGAUGCGUAGACGACCGGCGAGGUGGGUCGGCCACACGGGAGCUGAGACGCGGUCCAGGGUCCUGCGGGAGGCAGCAGUAGGGAAUCUUCGGCAAUGGGCGAAAGCUUGACGGAGCAGCGCCGCGUGAGUGAUGAAAGUCUUCGGAUCGUAAAACUCUGUUAUUAGGGAAGAACAAAUGUGUAAGUAACUAUGCACGUCUUGACGGUAACUAAUCAGAAAGCAACGGCUAACUACGUG
rnacentral:rRNA from 1 species